AUGCUUUUGCUAAUUAUAUUUUGUGGAUUUCACUUUUUGUAGUGUGAUACUUUAGCAAGUGAAGCUAUAAUAAUGUUCCCCUCGCUAUCCUUUGCAUCUAAUUUUUGUGGUGUAUUUGGUCGUUGGGGUACUACAUAA
rnacentral:snoRNA from 1 species